rnacentral:rRNA from 1 species
UGACCUCAGCUCAAGUAAGAACACCCGCUGAACUUAAGCAUAUCAAUAAGCGGAGGA